rnacentral:lncRNA from 1 species
GGGACUUCCGGGAUGACUCGGCGGCAAGAUGGAAUCCCUGGACGUGCGGGCAAAGUCGAAUUUCCUCUCCCUCCAUCGUUCCUGUAGUCGCCCAUCGAUUCAGAUGGUCAAAGCGAUGAGGGAAUCGAGAUCCGUAGGUAACUCCCGAGCUGCAAGCUCGUCCUCCUCCGAGACGCCGUGCAGGAACAUAUCGAACAGUGCUUCCUGGUUCCAAGCACUCUCCGCUGCCAACGUGCGGAAAUCCACACCAUCUGCCACACAGUGGGAGUCCUGCCGAAGCUGGAUUUGCUUCCGGGCAGCUUCUCUCCCAGAGAACGGGGCGUAAAAAACCUUCACCUCUCCCACGAACCCCUCCAGACUAACGCAUAUGGCCAACUGUUGUUCCCAUACAGCAGUAGCCCAGGUGGCUGCUGAGGAGAGGACAGCUCAUAAUAAUGUCAUACCACCUGUGACUGCAGCAGUAGAUUGACAGCAGGGCUGUCUGGAAGAGAAAGAGAGAGAGUGGGGAAGAUGGAAAGAGAGAGAUGAGGAAGUGAGAGAGGCAAAGGGAGAGUCAGAGGGAGAGGGAGAAAGAAGGGAGAGAGAACAAGCAUUAAUUAGCAUAAGGCCUAUUGUUGUUGUUGUUGUUGUGGCGGACUGACUGCUGCCCCUGGUGUAUCACACACACGCGCGCACACACAAUUUCACUCUCUCAAACGAGCACUGUAGCCUUCCCUCUGCUAAUCAAGAGGGCUAUGAACUGCCAUGGCCUCCAAGCCCACCCCCAUACCCCGCACACACAUGCAGAUGGUCAGACAGGCACGAGAGAGAGAGAGACAUUGUUACAACAUUGUACAUAGCCAUAAUAUGACAUUAGAAAUGUUUCUAUUCUAUUUAAACUUUUGUGAGUGUAAUGUUUACUGUUCAUUUCAUUUCUGAUUGUUUAUUUCAACUUUGUUUAUUAUCUAUUUCACUUGCUUAUGUGGUAACAUAUGUUUCCCAUGCCAAUAAAGCCC